rnacentral:rRNA from 1 species
UAGCAUACUUAGUGGCAGACGGGUGAGUAACAUGUGGGUAUCUACCCUUUGGCCUGGAAUAACACGAGGAAACUUGUGCUAAUACUGGAUAAGUCUUUACGGAGAAAGCUUUAUGCACCAUUGGAUGAGCUCGCACUUGAUUAGUUUGUUGGUAGGGUAAUGGCCUACCAAGACUAUGAUCAAUAGCUGAUUUGAGAGGAUGAUCAGCCACAUUGGGACUGAGACACGGCCCAAACUCCUACGGGAGGCAGCAGUGGGGAAUCUUGCACAAUGGAGGAAACUCUGAUGCAGCGAUGCCGCGUGAGUGAAGAAGGCCUUUGGGUUGUAAAGCUCUUUCGUCGGGGAAGAAAAUGACUGUACCCGAAUAAGAAGGUCCGGCUAACUUCGUGCCAGCAGCCGCGGUAAUACGAAGGGACCUAGCGUAGUUCGGAAUUACUGGGCUUAAAGAGUUCGUAGGUGGUUGAAAAAGUUGGUGGUGAAAUCCCAGAGCUUAACUCUGGAACUGCCAUCAAAACUUUUCAGCUAGAGUAUGAUAGAGGAAAGCAGAAUUUCUAGUGUAGAGGUGAAAUUCGUAGAUAUUAGAAAGAAUACCAAUUGCGAAGGCAGCUUUCUGGAUCAUUACUGACACUGAGGAACGAAAGCAUGGGUAGCGAAGAGGAUUAGAUACCCUCGUAGUCCAUGCCGUAAACGAUGUGUGUUAGACGUUGGAAAUUUAUUUUCAGUGUCGCAGCGAAAGCGAUAAACACACCGCCUGGGGAGUACGACCGCAAGGUUAAAACUCAAAUGAAUUGACGGGGACCCGCACAAGUAGUGGAGCAUGUGGUUUAAUUCGAAGAUACGCGCAGAACCUUACCAACACUUGACAUGUUCGUCGCGACUCUAAGAGAUUAGAGUUUUCGGUUCGGCCGGACGAAACACAGGUGCUGCAUGGCUGUCGUCAGCUCGUGUCCUGGAGAUGUUGGGGUUAAGUCCCGCAACGAGCGCAACCCUCACUUUUAGUUGCCAUCAUUAAGUUUGGG